CCGCGGCUCCUCCCGGCUCUUGGACUUUUAAAGGCGCAGAGCUCACCCGCCCUAACUCUCCGCAACGACCUGUGUUGCACGCGUGUCUCGUGUGUAUCCUACAACCACUUCUCGUACUAAAGGCCGGGACUGUUUGUAGGCGGAUAUGCGAAGAGUCAGAAACGUUUUUAGCUUGUUCUGAAACACACAGGGAGCUACCAGGGAACCGGAGGGAGUGUUCCAACCUGGUUUACAAUCUGAGUUGUUUCCUGGGCUGUGAUGGGACUGCGAUUUGGAAGGUGGUUUAGCAAGUCAAUGAAUCCAGAGCCUUUGCUUUCCUAGAAAAGUAAACUGAGGCCCAGUAGAAGGAAGCGAGUUUCCAAGGACACAGCAGAUAUAAGAGUAGUAACAGCAGUAAUAGCACUGUGGUGAGAGCUCCAGAAGCUAUUUUGGACCAUGAGAGGACCUCGAGAAUAAAACCCAUGUACAGCAAAGCGACAGGGUGAGAAGGCUGGGGCUGUUGAAGCAUGACCCACCAGACCAACACCCACUGCCCACUUCCACAUGAAAUAAAUA